rnacentral:rRNA from 1 species
ACACUCCUACGGGAGGCAGCAGUGGGGAAUAUUGCACAAUGGGCGCAAGCCUGAUGCAGCCAUGCCGCGUGUAUGAAGAAGGCCUUCGGGUUGUAAAGUACUUUCAGCGGGGAGGAAGGCGAUAAGGUUAAUAACCUUGUUGAUUGACGUUACCCGCAGAAGAAGCACCGGCUAACUCCGUGCCAGCAGCCGCGGUAAUACGGAGGGUGCAAGCGUUAAUCGGAAUUACUGGGCGUAAAGCGCACGCAGGCGGUCUGUCAAGUCGGAUGUGAAAUCCCCGGGCUCAACCUGGGAACUGCAUUCGAAACUGGCAGGCUAGAGUCUUGUAGAGGGGGGUAGAAUUCCAGGUGUAGCGGUGAAAUGCGUAGAGAUCUGGAGGAAUACCGGUGGCGAAGGCGGCCCCCUGGACAAAGACUGACGCUCAGGUGCGAAAGCGUGGGGAGCAAACAGGAUUAGAUACCCCGGUAGUCCCAUGAU